rnacentral:misc_RNA from 1 species
CGCCGGAAGUGGUUACAGUAUACAAGACCAGCAAAUUGAAAAAAUACUGGAGGGGAAAAAAUUGAAAGUAACCUAUGAUCCCCAUACGGAUUCCCUGACCAUUGUUUUCAGUAACAGGCCAGUAGCUGAAAGCGAUGAGGAUAAGCCUGGGAUAAUUAUUGAUUAUGAUGAAGAUGGAAACCCGGUUGGAAUUGAAAUCCUUGAUGCAUCCAAGCGUAUAACCGAGCCUGCUGGCAUCGAGUUUCAUCUGCUUCAAGCAAAGUAGAUAGCCCCUUCAGGAGGCUGGCUGUGGCCGCUAAGGGGGCGAAAGCCAAAACACAGCCUGCGCUCGGAGAAACUCCUGUGGCUGUUCUUCCGGACGGUGGGUUCGAAUCCCCCCGCUUCCACCA